rnacentral:misc_RNA from 1 species
GCAAACUUGGUCAUUUAGAGGAAGUAAAAGUCGUAACAAGGUUUCCGUAGGUGAACCUGCGGAAGGAUCAUCACUGAUUCGGGGGGUGUGUGCGCCACGCGGCGGCAGGUAACUGCUGGUGCGUGUGUGCACUAUACUACCCCAACCAAUCUUGUGUGAACCGUAACGAGCACACUGCGCGUGUGGUGGGGAAGAUUGGUUGGUGUGUGUGUGUGGGGGGGAGAACGUGUGUGUACCGUUUGGGACACACACACACCCGCCGCCGCCCACCAACCACGCCAUCAUGCGAGCACACAUAUAUUAUCUCCUUACAAUCUUGUCUAACACUACACACACACUAAAUUACACACAACUUUUAACAAUGGAUCUCUUGGCUCUCGCAUCGAUGAAGAACGCAGC